rnacentral:rRNA from 1 species
UACGGAGGGGGCAAGCGUUGUUCGGAAUCAUUGGGCGUAAAGGGCGCGUAGGUGGUUCUGUAUGUCUACCGUGAAAGCCUACAGCUCAACUGUAUUGUGUCGGUAGAAACUGCAGGACUUGAGGCUGGGAGGGGCUGGUGGAAUUCCCUGUGUAGCGGUGAAAUGCGUAGAGAUGGGGGAGAACACUCGUGGCGAAGGCGGCCAGCUAGACCAGUUCUGACACUGAGGCGCGACAGCGUGGGGAGCAAACAGG